rnacentral:rRNA from 1 species
AUAUCAGUCAUGCAUAGCAUAUCAAUAAGCGGAGGAAAAGAAAACUAACAAGGAUUCCCUUAGUAACGGCGAGUGAAGCGGGAAGAGCUCAAAUUUGAAAUCUUAAAGGGUUUUCCCUUGACGAAUUGUAGUUUAAAGAAGUGUUUUCUGUUGAAGUUUUGGUAAAAGUUCUUUGGAAUAGGACAUCAUAGAGGGUGAGAAUCCCGUAUUUGACCAUUUACUUUCAGCUGUCGUGAUACACUUUCAAAGAGUCGGAUUGUUUGGGAAUGCAGUCCAAAAUGGGUGGUAAAUUUCAUCUAAAGCUAAAUAUUGGCGAGAGACCGAUAGCGAACAAGUACCGUGAGGGAAAGAUGAAAAGAACUUUGAAAAGAGAGUUAAACAGUACGUGAAAUUGUCAAAAGGGAAGCGUUUGACACCAGUGUUGUUUUCUCGAAAAUCAGUUAAAAAAAGUUGGAUUUUGUGUUGUAUUGACCUUAACAGCUUUCUGCACUCUUUUCCUGCUUUUUUUAAUGCACUUUUCGUUUAACAAGUCAACAUCAGUUUCUUUUGUUGUAAAAGGGUCAUUGGAAGGUGGCUUUCUUUUCGGAGAAAGUGUUUAUAGCCUUUGAUCUCUGCAAUCGGAGAGACUGAGGUCUGCAGCGUAGAUCCUUCGGGGUUAGAUACAUUUGUGCUAAGUUAUAACUUUUCAUAGACAACUUGUUGACUAUGUUUUAGUCAUGUAGCUUACUCGCUUAUGCUAUUUUACCUACGCUUAGGAUGUUGAAGAUGUAGCACAUCAU